UACAGAGGGUGCAAGCGUUAAUCGGAAUUACUGGGCGUAAAGGGCGCGUAGGUGGUUAUUUAAGUCAGAUGUGAAAUCCCUGGGCUUAACCUAGGAAUUGCAUUUGAAACUAGAUGGCUAGAGUAUGGUAGAGGGAAGUGGAAUUUCCGGUGUAGCGGUGAAAUGCGUAGAGAUCCGGAGGAAGACCGGUGGCGAAGGCGGUCUGCUGGGCAGUUUCUGACACUGAGGCGCGACAGCGUGGGGAGCAAACAGG
rnacentral:rRNA from 1 species